rnacentral:rRNA from 1 species
UACGUAGGGGGCGAGCGUUGUCCGGAUUUAUUGGGCGUAAAGAGCGUGUAGGCGGCCAGGUAGGUCGGUUGUGAAAACUGGAGGCUUAACCUUCAGACGUCGACCGAAACCAUCUGGCUAGAGUCCGGAAGAGGAGAGUGGAAUUCCUGGUGUAGCGGUGAAAUGCGCAGAUAUCAGGAAGAACACCCGUGGCGAAGGCGGCCAGCUGGGCCGACCCUGACACUGAGGCGCGAAGGCGUGGGGAGCGAACGGG